GGAAAGCACAUGGAACUAACUGAGUUAAUAGACAAACCUUGGCCAUUUCUCAUAAAGACAUGGUCAGAUCCAGGCAAUGAAGUAGAGUCAGACAGAUUUGCGGCAUCAGGAGUGACAUGAUGAGAAGCACCUGAAUCAGGAUACCACCAUUGAUUGUUGAAAGUAGCUUCAGAACCUGCAAAGGAAGCUUGUGAUGCAGAAACCCUAGGAGGAGUGGCUCUGGGAGCGCUAUAGCCAAAGGAAGAUGGAUACAUAGGGCGUGCAGGCACUAGAAAAGGAUUAUAGG
rnacentral:lncRNA from 1 species